AUCGAGACUAUUUUGGGUAAAUUUGGAGCAGGUGGGGUGGCUGAUGACGUCAUCGCCCCCCCCCCCAUUGCCGACGUUUUGCGUUGGGUGGGGGGGGGGCAACUAUACGCUGGUAACACACCGAUUGGUCCUUUUCACAAGCUAGGGUGGGACUUACGAUUUAUUGGGUCCCUCAGAUGUCUGUCAUUGACUGAAUAAUUAAUGAAUCCCUCCUAUCGGACUAAACCAUUUUUAGGGAGGGGUGACGAGCUGAUAUUUGGAAGACUUAUUAUUAUAUCAAAUUGUAUGUUUCUGUGGUUUUCAUUAAGAUCUUUGACAUACGAUUAUUAUUAAUAUUAGAAUUAUUCACAGAACAGGGGCCUAUAUAGUAUAACUGCUGGAUUGUGUGGGGUCCCCUGGGCAGUGGGAGCCCCCGUAAUUGUCACCACCUUUCACCCCACUAGCAACGACCCUGUCCGCAUCCAUACCAUUUAUAAAGUGCUUUAAUAUGGCGAAGCUGCUGUGGUGCAGGUGGCGUCUUCUGCAGCGUGCUGCUGGGGUUUUGGGCAAUGUCGGGGUCCUCACCCAGGUGGCGUGACUACGGCGCGAAUGUGACUGAGACUCGGGCAGCGGGAGACAUUUCUGCUUUCCUCACGACUGUGUGAGCUACGUUCAGGGUCUGUAUAUGUUGCUGGCACUCCAUACUGUGUGUGGUGACCUUAUGACUUCUCUGAAGAAGCUGUGGAAGGUGCUGCUGUUGAAGAGGUGGGCUGUGAUUCGGGACUCAGUCACAUACAUGCUGUCUGUUGUGGCACUGAUUGGUCUCUAGAUUACCCAUGAUGGGAAGAUCGUAUGGUGGGAAAGUUUGCUGUUGGUGGUCAUGUAUGUGGGAUACAUUUUGAUCACGAUGUGAGUACAGAGGAUUUAUAUUAUGGGUCAUUUUUCUCCCCAGGUUGGUUCCCUUAUACUUGCUCUCCCACCAGCUGACUGCCCCAUAGCGUAUAACAAAUACCAGCUAGGGACAGUGAAGCCUCCCAUCCUUCCUCUGACGCAUCAGAAGCUGUGUUAAAGUUUAGUAGGUAGACGUGGUUAAAGUCCAUCAGUAUGUGUUAUGAGUUCUGAUUAAAUAUGUUCCAGUAAAGGAAUAGCUGAUUGGUGAGUGUGUGUAUAAAUAUAUAAAAAGGCCCUCCAGGAUUUGUGAGCACAGAAGUGAACGAAAAAUCAAGCAAAUUCCCUGAUAUUUAGUGGAGCAUUAACACAGACUUUCUGCAGAUUUGGGCCAAGACAUCAUGUGAUAUCACAGUGCACUAAAGCCAAAGCCUCUUUGAUUACUUUCUAUGACACACUACACUUGACGCACCUUAAUUACAUACAUGUCUUCAUUGUAAGUAAUUUAAAGAAUCAUGUGCUUGCAAUUUUGCCAAUCCAGGUCCCGUCUUCAUAAAGAAUGACCUCAGACAGCUCCUCAUAUAGCUUAAACAUUUCUAACUAGGAAUCUUAUGUUAAGAGUGAUUCAGGACCGAACUCGGAGCAUCUCUGAGCAAGGACAAUACAUUUAUCUUAGUGAGGAGGCGGGGCUUAACGCUGUUACUAGGCAUGCCACAUUCUUUUGAAGCCUGUGAUUGGUUGUCUAAUAAAAAGGAGCGCUUUUAAAAUCUGGUCUCUUAUAAGCCAUUACGUUGUCUCUAUGCUAAGAUAUUUAAGGCUAUAUCAUGCAGGGAUUCCCUUCGUGACCGAUCUUAUUAGAGAUGUUCUAACAAAAUAAAUUUAAAAUAAUACAUUUUGUUCAUGUAAACACCUAUGAAACAGCACAGAAAUGUCGUAGCUCCAAAUGAGAGAAUUUUGGCUGUUUCUGAGAUGUUGGUGUAUCUCUAAAUGACAUGGCAGCAGAAUAUCUGGCAUUUCUGUACUGUGUUGAUGUUAUUGUUAAAAUAUGAUGUCACAACAUAAAAUAAUCCCUACAAGAUCUAAUCUGUAUCAUCUUAUUAACUCACUAUCGUUAUUAAAUAUUGUAUACAACACAUUUCUGCACCUUUCAGCCAUUUUCUCCUCUGAUAAAGAAACUCUUUAAGCCUCUUAAAUGUCCUCCUCACGUCUAACACUUUUUGACCUUAAGCACUCUUUUAAGGGUUAAGAUGCUUCAUGAAUAACUUUUAUCUUUACUGGGAUCUUCUCCUUGAUUUUACGGGGAAACGACCACAAUCCUAAGAAUGUUAAGCAAGUCUUUUCUAAGAAUUUUCAUAUACAAGGGCCCUGAAGUUUUUGGGACUUGAAGUGAGUGUGUUUAAGUCAGCUAUAAGCCGAAUACGAAAACGUAUCACAGCUGACAGGACGAUAUUUUGCUGAAGAUGAGAAGAAAUUUGGCUCAUCAUAAAAAUUCUGAUCCAAUAAUGAAACAGGCUUAAGGGAGUUUACAUCAUUUGAAUUUUCAUUGAAAAUGAAAAUAUUUGCUGUUCAUUGAGGUAGAAAAUGAGCCACAGCAUCAAGAAAACUCACCAUCGUCACUCUGUGUGUUGGCACUGAUGAAUGUAAACUCUACAAAUAGUAAAAAAUAAUUCCAUAACUUAGUGCACAUUUUUUUUAGUUCCCCUAACACUUGAUUUUUUGUGUGUAUCUCUGUUUGUUUUCUG